AUAGUUUGAUACUGGCUCAGAAUGAACGCUAGCGGCAGGCCUAACACAUGCAAGUCGAGGGGUAACAGGAGUAGCUUGCUACUUGCUGACGACCGGCGCACGGGUGCGUAACGCGUAUACAAUCUACCCAUUACUAAGGGAUAGCCCAUGGAAACGUGGAUUAAUACCUUAUGGUAUUUAGGAGUCACCUGACUUUUAAAUUAAAGGCUACGGUAGUGGAUGAGUAUGCGUCCUAUUAGCUAUUAUGUAGGGUAACGGCCUACAUAGGCGAUGAUAGGUAGGGGUUCUGAGAGGGAGAUCCCCCACACUGGUACUGAGACACGGACCAGACUCCUACGGGAGGCAGCAGUGAGGAAUAUUGGACAAUGGGAGCAAUCCUGAUCCAGCCAUGCCGCGUGCAGGAAGACGGUCCUAUGGAUUGUAAACUGCUUUUAUACAGGAAGAAAAAGGCCGACGUGUCGGCUAUUGGCGGUACUGUAUGAAUAAGGAUCGGCUAACUCCGUGCCAGCAGCCGCGGUAAUACGGAGGAUCCGAGCGUUAUCCGGAAUUAUUGGGUUUAAAGGGUCCGUAGGCGGGAUAAUAAGUCAGUGGUGAAAGUUUGUGGCUCAACCAUAAAAUUGCCAUUGAUACUGUUAUUCUUGAGUUAUUGUGAAGUGGUUAGAAUGUGUAGUGUAGCGGUGAAAUGCAUAGAUAUUACACAGGAUACCAAUUGCGAAGGCAGAUCACUAACAAUCAACUGACGCUGAUGGACGAAAGCGUAGGUAGCGAAC
rnacentral:rRNA from 1 species